UUCACAGCGCUGGACGAGGCAGCGCGCCGACUAGAGAGUGAUGCGCUUUCGCAGCUUCAAAAGCGAACAAACGUACCGGUCUUGGAGGCUGACGGCCAGGGUUGAGAACACAGCACCUCCGUGGACCUGGUCCGAGACUGGCCUCACAGGCCAAGAGAAAGAUGUGAAGCUGAGAAUCAUAGGUGCUGGCAGUAGAAAGCUGACCAACCGUCUGUACUGGAAAGGAAAUCAGAUGCAGUGAGUUGACGCUGAUUGCUCCUGCUUCUCCAGGACAAUGCACCGGAACAGUCCUCCGUCGUGAACAGAGCUAUCAAAAACUGAAGAUGUGUAUGUGUUUAAAACUAAAAUUCA